rnacentral:ncRNA from 1 species
GGUGCUUCGCUGUCGAAGAUAAUUGGGAAGUAAAAAAGCUGACCCGCAACCGUGAAAGAAGACGACUCCAUCAAAACCACUGUGCCUAGGCAUGGGAAGGGAUGGAUGAGGAUGACGCUUGAGCCGGUAAACCAGCCUGUACAUAC